rnacentral:rRNA from 1 species
UACGUAGGGGGCAAGCGUUAUCCGGAUUUACUGGGUGUAAAGGGAGCGCAGGCGGCGCGGCAAGUCUGAUGUGAAAGCCCGGGGCUCAACCCCGGGACUGCAUUGGAAACUGUCGCGCUCGAGUGUCGGAGGGGCAAGCGGAAUUCCUAGUGUAGCGGUGAAAUGCGUAGAUAUUAGGAGGAACACCGGUGGCGAAGGCGGCUUGCUGGACGACGACUGACGCUGAGGCUCGAAAGCGUGGGGAGCAAACAGG